GCACCCCUAGCUCAAUUGGCAGAGCAAUUGACUCUUAAUCAAUGGGUUCUCGGUUCGAGUCCGAGGGGGUGUACCA
rnacentral:tRNA from 6 species